UACGUAGGGGACAAGCGUUGUCCGGAAUCAUUGGGCGUAAAGCGCGUGUAGGCGGCUCGAUAAGUCUGCUGUGAAAGUUCAGGGCUCAACCCUGAAAUGCCGGUGGAAACUGUCGAGCUAGAGUCCGGAAGAGGCGAGUGGAAUUCCUGGUGUAGCGGUGAAAUGCGCAGAUAUCAGGAGGAACACCAAUGGCGAAGGCAGCUCGCUGGGACGGUACUGACGCUGAGACGCGAAAGCGUGGGGAGCAAACAGG
rnacentral:rRNA from 1 species